rnacentral:rRNA from 1 species
UGGGACUGAGACCCGGCCCAGAUUCUUACGGGAGGCAGCAGUGGGGAAUAUUGGACAAUGGGGGGAACCCUGAUCCAGCCAUGCCGCGUGUGUGAAGAAGGCCUUAUGGUUGUAAAGCACUUUAAGCGAGGAGGAGGCUUACCUGGUUAAUACCCAGGAUAAGUGGACGUUACUCGCAGAAUAAGCACCGGCUAACUCUGUGCCAGCAGCCGCGGUAAUACAGAGGGUGCAAGCGUUAAUCGGAUUUACUGGGCGUAAAGCGCGCGUAGGCGGCCAAUUAAGUCAAAUGUGAAAUCCCCGAGCUUAACUUGGGAAUUGCAUUCGAUACUGGUUGGCUAGAGUGUGGGAGAGGAUGGUAGAAUUCCAGGUGUAGCGGUGAAAUGCGUAGAGAUCUGGAGGAAUACCGAUGGCGAAGGCAGCCAUCUGGCCUAACACUGACGCUGAGGUGCGAAAGCAUGGGGAGCAAACAGGAUUAGAUACCCUGGUAGUCCAUGCCGUAAACGAUGUCUACUAGCCGUUGGGGCCUUUGAGGCUUUAGUGGCGCAGCUAACGCGAUAAGUAGACCGCCUGGGGAGUACGGUCGCAAGACUAAAACUCAAAUGAAUUGACGGGGGCCCGCACAAGCGGUGGAGCAUGUGGUUUAAUUCGAUGCAACGCGAAGAACCUUACCUGGCCUUGACAUAGUAGAAACUUUCCAGAGAUGGAUUGGUGCCUUCGGGAAUCUACAUACAGGUGCUGCAUGGCUGUCGUCAGCUCGUGUCGUGAGAUGUUGGGUUAAGUCCCGCAACGAGCGCAACCCUUUUCCUUACUUGCCAGCAUUUCGGAUGGGAACUUUAAGGAUACUGCCAGUGACAAACUGGAGGAAGGCGGGGACGACGUCAAGUCAUCAUGGCCCUUACGGCCAGGGCUACACACGUGCUACAAUGGUCGGUACAAAGGGUUGCUACCUAGCGAUAGGAUGCUAAUCUCAAAAAGCCGAUCGUAGUCCGGAUUGGAGUCUGCAACUCGACUCCAUGAAGUCGGAAUCGCUAGUAAUCGCGGAUCAGAAUGCCGCGGUGAAUACGUUCCCGGGCCUUGUACACACCGCCCGUCACACCAUGGGAGUUUGUUGCACCAGAAGUAGCUAGCCUAACUGCAAAGAGGGCGUAU